rnacentral:rRNA from 1 species
ACGAAGGGACCUAGCGUAGUUCGGAAUUACUGGGCUUAAAGAGUUCGUAGGUGGUUAAAAAAGUUGGUGGUGAAAUCCCAGAGCUUAACUCUGGAACUGCCAUCAAAACUUUUUAGCUAGAGUAUGAUAGAGGAAAGCAGAAUUUCUAGUGUAGAGGUGAAAUUCGUAGAUAUUAGAAAGAAUACCAAUUGCGAAGGCAGCUUUCUGGAUCAUUACUGACACUGAGGAACGAAAGCAUGGGUAGCGAAGAGGAUUAGAUACCCUCGUAGUCCAUGCCGUAAACGAUGUGUGUUAGACGUUGGAAAUUUAUUUUCAGUGUCGCAGCGAAAGCGAUAAACACACCGCCUGGGGAGUACGACCGCAAGGUUAAAACUCAAAUGAAUUGACGGGGACCCGCACAAGUAGUGGAGCAUGUGGUUUAAUUCGAAGAUACGCGCAGAACCUUACCAACGCUUGACAUGUUCGUCGCGACUCUAAGAGAUUAGAGUUUUCGGUUCGGCCGGACGAAACACAGGUGCUGCAUGGCUGUCGUCAGCUCGUGUCGUGAGAUGUUGGGUUAAGUCCCGCAACGAGCGCAACCCUCACUUUUAGUUGCCAUCAUUUAGUUGGGCACUCUGAAAGAACUGCCAGUGAUAAGCUGGAGGAAGGUGGGGAUGACGUCAAGUCCUCAUGGCCCUUACGUGUUGGGCUACACACGUGCUACAAUGGUAUCUACAACAGGAAGCAAGACUGCGAGGUCAAGCAAAUCCUUAAAAGAUACCUCAGUUCGGAUUGCACUCUGCAACUCGAGUGCAUGAAGCUGGAAUUACUAGUAAUCGUGGAUCAGCGUGCCACGGUGAAUGCGUUCCCGGGUCUUGUACACACCGCCCGUCACACCAUGGGAGUUGGUUCUACCUUAAGGCAAGGUUUAAAACCCUUGACCACGGUAUAGUCAGCGACUGGGGUGAAGUCGUAACAAGGUAACC